GACGAACGCUGGCGGCGUGCUUAACACAUGCAAGUCGAACGAGGCCCCGCCUUCGGGUGGGUGUUCUAGUGGCGAACGGGUGAGUAACACGUGGGCAACCUGCCCCCGGCUCUGGGAUAACUCCAAGAAAUUGGGGCUAAUACCGGAUAUGACCGCUGACCGCAUGGUCUGGUGGUGGAAAGUUUUUCGGCUGGGGAUGGGCCCGCGGCCUAUCAGCUUGUUGGUGGGGUAGUGGCCUACCAAGGCGACGACGGGUAGCCGGCCUGAGAGGGUGACCGGCCACACGGGGACGGAGACACGGCCCAGACUCCUACGGGAGGCAGCAGUGGGGAAUAUUGCGCAAUGGGCGGAAGCCUGACUCAGCGACGCCGCGUGGGGGAUGACGGCCUUCGGGUUGUAAACCUCUUUCAGCAGGGACGAAGCGCAAGUGACGGUACCUGCAGAAGAAGCACCGGCCAACUACGUGCCAGCCGCCGCCGUAAUAC
rnacentral:rRNA from 1 species